CCUACGGGAGGCAGCAGUGGGGAAUAUUGCACAAUGGGCGCAAGCCUGAUGCAGCGACGCCGCGUGAGGGAUGACGGCCUUCGGGUUGUAAACCUCUUUCAGUAGGGAAGAAGCGUAAGUGACGGUACCUGCAGAAGAAGCGCCGGCUAACUACGUGCCAGCAGCCGCGGUAAUACGUAGGGCGCAAGCGUUAUCCGGAAUUAUUGGGCGUAAAGAGCUCGUAGGCGGUUUGUCGCGUCUGCUGUGAAAGACCGGGGCUCAACUCCGGUUCUGCAGUGGGUACGGGCAGACUAGAGUGAUGUAGGGGAGACUGGAAUUCCUGGUGUAGCGGUGAAAUGCGCAGAUAUCAGGAGGAACACCGAUGGCGAAGGCAGGUCUCUGGGCAUUAACUGACGCUGAGGAGCGAAAGCAUGGGGAGCGAACAGGAUUAGAUACCCUGGUAGUCCAUGCCGUAAACGUUGGGCACUAGGUGUGGGGGACAUUCCACGUUUUCCGCGCCGUAGCUAACGCAUUAAGUGCCCCGCCUGGGGAGUACGGCCGCAAGGCUAAAACUCAAAGGAAUUGACGGGGGCCCGCACAAGCGGCGGAGCAUGCGGAUUAAUUCGAUGCAACGCGAAGAACCUUACCAAGGCUUGACAUGAACCGGUAACGCCUGGAAACAGGUGCCCCGCUUGCGGUCGGUUUACAGGUGGUGCAUGGUUGUCGUCAGCUCGUGUCGUGAGAUGUUGGGUUAAGUCCCGCAACGAGCGCAACCCUCGUUCCAUGUUGCCAGCACGUAGUGGUGGGGACUCAUGGGAGACUGCCGGGGUCAACUCGGAGGAAGGUGGGGACGACGUCAAAUCAUCAUGCCCCUUAUGUCUUGGGCUUCACGCAUGCUACAAUGGCCGGUACAAAGGGUUGCGAUACUGUGAGGUGGAGCUAAUCCCAAAAAGCCGGUCUCAGUUCGGAUUGGGGUCUGCAACUCGACCCCAUGAAGUCGGAGUCGCUAGUAAUCGCAGAUCAGCAACGCUGCGGUGAAUACGUUCCCGGGCCUUGUACACACCGCCCGUCAAGUCACGAAAGUUGGUAACACCCGAAGCCGGUGGCCUAACC
rnacentral:rRNA from 1 species